rnacentral:rRNA from 1 species
GACGAACGCUGGCGGCGUGCUUAACACAUGCAAGUCGAACGGAAAGGCCCUGCUUUUGUGGGGUGCUCGAGUGGCGAACGGGUGAGUAACACGUGAGUAACCUGCCCUUGACUUUGGGAUAACUUCAGGAAACUGGGGCUAAUACCGGAUAGGAGCUCCUGCUGCAUGGUGGGGGUUGGAAAGUUUCGGCGGUUGGGGAUGGACUCGCGGCUUAUCAGCUUGUUGGUGGGGUAGUGGCUUACCAAGGCUUGACGGGUAGCCGGCCUGAGAGGGUGACCGGCCACAUUGGGACUGAGAUACGGCCCAGACUCCUACGGGAGGCAGCAGUGGGGAAUAUUGCACAAUGGGCGGAAGCCUGAUGCAGCAACGCCGCGUGCGGGAUGACGGCCUUCGGGUUGUAAACCGCUUUCGCCUGUGACGAAGUGUGAGUGACGGUAAUGGGUAAAGAAGCACCGGCUAACUACGUG